CACGUAGUUAGCCGUGGCUUUCUGGUUAGGUACCGUCAAGGUACCGGCAGUUACUCCGGUACUUGUUCUUCCCUAACAACAGAGUUUUACGAUCCGAAAACCUUCAUCACUCACGCGGCGUUGCUCCGUCAGACUUUCGUCCAUUGCGGAAGAUUCCCUACUGCUGCCUCCCGUAGGAGCCUGGGCCGUGUCUCAGUCCCAGUGUGGCCGAUCACCCUCUCAGGUCGGCUACGCAUCGUGGCCUUGGUGAGCCGUUACCUCACCAACUAGCUAAUGCGCCGCGGGCCCAUCCUAUAAGUGACAGCGUAAACCGUCUUUCAGCUUUCCUACAUGUGUAGAAAGAAUUAUCCGGUAUUAGCUCCGGUUUCCAAGUUAUCCCAGUCUUAUAGGCAGGUUGCCCAGUGUUACUCACCCGUCCGCCGCUAAUUUACGAGAGCAAGCUCUCGUAAAUUCGCUCGACUUGCAUGUAUUAGGCACGCCGCCAGCGUUCGUCUGAGCCGACGAGUCAACUACUCUGUACG
rnacentral:rRNA from 1 species